AUUGAACGCUGGCGGCAGGCCUAACACAUGCAAGUCGAACGGGUGGCGGAAGGGAGAGUAAUGUAUGGGACACUGCCUGGUGGAUGGGGAUAACUACUGGAAACGGUAGCUACUACCGCAUACCAUCAGAUGGGACCAGAUGGGUUUAGCUAGGUGGUGGGGUAACGGCCUACCAAGGCGACGAUCCCUAGCUGGUCUGAGAGGAUGACCAGCCACACUGGAACUGAGACACGGUCCAGACUCCUACGGGAGGCAGCAGUGGGGAAUAUUGCACAAUGGGCGCAAGCCUGAUGCAGCCAUGCCGCGUGUAUGAAGAAGGCCUUCGGGUUGUAAAGUACUUUCAGCGGGGAGGCGUUACCCGCAGAAGAAGCACCGGCUAACUCCGUGCCAGCAGCCGCGGUAAUUC
rnacentral:rRNA from 1 species